rnacentral:ncRNA from 1 species
AAAUAAAUUUUUAUAAUUUAAAAAUUUUAUUUUAAGUUUAAAUUAUAUAUAAAUUUUAGUGUAAAUUUUAUUAUAUUUAAAAAAAAUAAUAAUUAAUUAUAUAGUAAUUAAAAUUAAAAAUUUAAGAAAUUAAGAUUUAGUAAUACAAAAAUAAAUAACAAAUUUUGUGCCAGCAGUUGCGGUUACACUAAAAUUUAUUUAAAAUUUUUCAGUAAUAAUAAAUAAUAAAUUAAAUUUUUAAUUAAAAAUAAAAUUAUAAGGUGAAAUUUUAAUUUUAUAAAAAUUAAAAUGUAAUUAUGAAUUAAUAAAAUUUUAUUGAUAAACUAAGAUUAGAUACCCUAUUAUAGGAAAAUUAAAUAAUAAUACUAAAAUAGUAGAUAAUAAUUUAUUGAAACUUAAAUAAUUUGGCGGUAUUUUAGUUCAUUUAGAGGAAUCUGUCUAAUAAUUGAUAAUCCACGAAUAAAUUUACUUAAUUUAAAAUUUUAUAUAUCGUUGUUAAAAAAAUAUUUUUAAAAAAUAAUAAUAUUUAAAAAUUUUAAAAUAAAAUUAACUCAGAUCAAGAUGUAGAUAAUAAUUAAGAAUAUGAUGGAUUACAAUAAUUAUAAAUAAAUGGAUAUUAAUUUUGAAAUAAUUAAUUGAAGGUGGAUUUAAAUGUAAUUUUAUUUAAUUUAUUAAAAUGAUUAAAAAUUAAAAUAUGUACAUAUGCCCUACCACUUGCAAUCCAAAAUUGAAAUAAGUCGUAACAAAGUAGGGGUACUGGAAAGUGUUUCUAGAAAGAA